CCCAGGGCACCGUGACAGAGCCAUUUCCCUUCACAAGCCAACUCACAUGCUUCUGGAAUCUUUUUCUGGCUGUUAUGAACUGAAUUGUGUACCCCACCACCACCAAAGUUCAUAUAUUGAAGUCUGAAUCCCUAGAACCUCAGAAUGUGAUUAUAUUUGAAGACAGAGUCCAAAUAGGACACAGACACUCACGGAAGACCAUGUGAAGACACAGGAAGAAAGUGGCCUCCUACUAGCCAAGGAGAGAGGCUGCAUAAGAAACCAAACCUGCCAACACCUUGAUUUUGGACUUCCAGCCUCCAGAACUUACAUCCAUGAGCCUGUCUUACCCUCAAUAGUCUGUGCCUCGAACCUCCUCAUCCUGGAUUGCCCCUGCCCCCUCCACUGGCAUGAAGAUGUUGAAAAGUCUGAAGAAACAGGAUUUGCUUUUUCCUUGACAUCCAGAUACUAAAACCACAGCCAGAAUGGUGUUCACAACAAAGUACCAAGCUGGUGGCUUAGAUUUUUCUGAGGCAGGGAUCUAAUGCUUGAUGAUCUGACAAUCUGAGGUGGAGCUGAUGUAAUAAUAAUAAAAACAGAAAAGUGAAAGUGAA
ensembl:lncRNA